rnacentral:sRNA from 1 species
AAAAAGGCCAACACAAAACGGAAAAAUACGAACAAAACUCAUUCAAUCGGUGACUAACGAUGAUCUGAGUUUGACGUCACGCUUGGUCGCCACCGUACCUGGAGUUUUGAUUCCGUUUGGGGCACUCUUUCGGCUUCGGCGAGUCUUCCUCACAGGGCACGUGGUACUACAUGUCCAUACUCCGUAUGCAAUCUACUAGAUAAGGAGAUAAGAUAUGGGAAGAAGACGUAAAGACCGUUCGUCGAGGAGAUGUGGAUACCCGUUGUUACGUAAACCCCAAUCUGCAUCGACAAGGCACAUAUGCUGCGGCUGCUGAGAGGUAUCGUGGUGGGUAUAGCGGACGUUGGCGGCGCGUAACGAGGAAAAUAAUGUGGUUGUUCCACUUGAAAUUACAGCUCAUCCGAGGUUGACUGCUGCUACUUUCAGUAGAAUCGAUGCCGGCAAAUGAUUAGGACGAGUCUGAAAUCCUGAAGAUACGAACUACGUACGAAACGACAUCUGAGAUUCAGCCGCCUUGUUCUGCUGCCUUUUCACAGCACCUUAUCGGAUUCUUUUUCCCUCUCUCUCUUAACCAAGUAUUGGUUUUAUAUGCUGAUAUCGAUACUCUAGAUGAAAAAUUGUAUCCUUGUCGUGUUUCAAAGCUUGGGACAAUGAGUUGCAUUCGAAUCAACAGUGAACGGAAUCACCGUUGGUCUGGUUAUUCCAUUGCGUUCUGUUACGACGGUCACCAGUGAUUAGGCGCAGAUAGCCUCGCGAAAUCCUGAAAUGGUGUCCAGUAAGAGACUACCGCAACGUAGGGCAAAGCACGGCUCACUUGUUUGGCAGUUCCAUUCCAGCAGCAAAACCCCUGAUACGAGCCUUGAUGCACUGGUUAUAAUGCCACUUGAGAAACCUCGGUUCGGGCCUGUCUUCUUCUUCGCCACGAAAGCGGUCGGAUCUGAGCGCUUUGCCAUGCAGUUCGCGCGCGGUUCUAGUUCGUAAGACAAAGAAAUGUAC